rnacentral:rRNA from 1 species
GAUGAACGCUGGCGGCGUGCCUAAUACAUGCAAGUCGAGCGAACAGACGAGGAGCUUGCUCCUCUGACGUUAGCGGCGGACGGGUGAGUAACACGUGGAUAACCUACCUAUAAGACUGGGAUAACUUCGGGAAACCGGAGCUAAUACCGGAUAAUAUAUUGAACCGCAUGGUUCAAUAGUGAAAGACGGUUUUGCUGUCACUUAUAGAUGGAUCCGCGCCGCAUUAGCUAGUUGGUAAGGUAACGGCUUACCAAGGCAACGAUGCGUAGCCGACCUGAGAGGGUGAUCGGCCACACUGGAACUGAGACACGGUCCAGACUCCUACGGGAGGCAGCAGUAGGGAAUCUCCGCAAUGGGCGAAAGCCUGACGGAGCAACGCCGCGUGAGUGAUGAAGGUCUUCGGAUCGUAAAACUCUGUUAUUAGGGAAGAACAAAUGUGUAAGUAACUAUGCACGUCUUGACGGUACCUAAUCAGAAAGCCACGGCUAACUACGUG